rnacentral:rRNA from 1 species
AGACCGUCCAGCCUUUCGGGGCCGGCGUACAGGUGCUGCAUGGCUGUCGUCAGCUCGUGCUGUGAAGUGUUGGGUUAAGUCCCGCAACGAGCGCAACCCCUGCCAUCUGUUGCCAGCAAGUGAAGUUGGGGACUCAGGUGGAACUGCCGGUGACAAACCGGAGAAGGUGGGGACGACGUCAAGUCAUCAUGGCCCUUAUGUCCUGGGCUACACACGUGCUACAAUGGCCGGUACAGAGCGCAGCGAAGCCGCGAGGCAAAGCGAAUCGCAAAAAGCCGGUCUCAGUACGGAUUGGAGUCUGAAACCCGACUCCAUGAAGUUGGAAUCGCUAGUAAUCGCGCAUCAGCAUGGCGCGGUGAAUACGUUCCCGGGCCUU